GACGAACGCUGGCGGCGUGCCUAACACAUGCAAGUCGAACGAGAAAGUCCCUUCGGGGGCGAGUACAGUGGCGCACGGGUGAGUAACACGUGGAUAACCAACCCUCGGGUGGGGGAUAACAGUCCGAAAGGAUUGCUAAUCCCGCAUAAGACCACGGCAGCUGCGGCUGCUGAGGUAAAAGGCGCUUUAUUGAGUCGCCUGAGGACGGGUCCGCGUCCCAUUAGCUAGUUGGCGGGGUAAUGGCCCACCAAGGCGAUGAUGGGUAGCUGGUCUGAGAGGAUGACCAGCCACACUGGGACUGGAACACGGCCCAGACUCCUACGGGAGGCAGCAGUGAGGAAUAUUGCACAAUGGGCGAAAGCCUGAUGCAGCAACGCCGCGUGAGUGACGAAGGCCUUCGGUUGUAAGCUCUGUCGGGUGGGAAGAUGUGGUCCGGCUAACGACCGGAUUGUGACGGUACCAUCAAAGGAGCACCGGCUAACUCCGUGCCAGCAGCCG
rnacentral:rRNA from 1 species